rnacentral:rRNA from 1 species
GGCGAACGCUGGCGGCGUGCUUAACACAUGCAAGUCGAACGGAAAGGCCCUGCUUGCAGGGUACUCGAGUGGCGAACGGGUGAGUAACACGUGGGUGAUCUGCCCUGCACUUCGGGAUAAGCCUGGGAAACUGGGUCUAAUACCGGAUAGGAGCCAUUUUUAGUGUGAUGGUUGGAAAGUUUUUUCGGUGUAGGAUGAGCUCGCGGCCUAUCAGCUUGUUGGUGGGGUAAUGGCCUACCAAGGCGGCGGCGGGUAGCCGGCCUGGGAGGGUGGACGGCCACAUUGGGACUGAGAUACGGCCCAGGCUCCUACGGGGGGCAGCAGUGGGGAAUAUUGCACAAUGGGCGCAAGCCUGAUGCAGCGACGCCGCGUGGGGGAUGACGGCCUUCGGGUUGGAAACUCCUUUCGCUAGGGACGAAGCUUUUUGUGACGGUACCUAGAUAAGAAGCACCGGCUAACUACGUG